GUUUGUGUAUUUAAAUAUAUGUGUGUAUGUCUGUGUGUGUGUGUAUAUAUAUAUAUAUAUAUAUAUACACACACACAGACAUACACAAACACACAUA